AAAUUAUAAAGAAAUGUUCUAAUUUUAAAAUCUUAAUCUUUUUUUCCCUCCUCUCUCUCUCUUUAAAAAACACCAGGAAAUGCAUCAAAAUAAACCCUUCAAACACCAAACAAAACAGGUUGGAGUAUUUUGAUUUCAGAGGUUAACAAUAUUAACAGUCUGAGCCUUUGUAUGUAUGAAGAUUAUUAUUUUUUUAAGAAAGAAAGAAAAGAGAAAAAAAUAAUAGAUAUCCCUCCAGCUGAAAAAUACUUUUGCAAAUGGGAGCUAGGACAAGAUAUUUUUAUAGUAUCUCCUCAUUAACUAUAAAUCCAAUUUUGGUUCUUUCUUCUUUCUUUUAUUAUGCAUUAUAACACACACUAUUCUCUAUAUAAUUUAUGUCGAUGAGGAUGACAUCACAGCAUGAUAUUACUUUAUCCCUCCGUUUCCCUUUGUUAUGUUUUGUCACCCGCUCCCCCGCACCGUCCCUCCGCCGGGAGUGGCUGUCCCCGCCCCAAACACCGCCCGAGGACGCAGCUCUGGGGACGCGGCACUGUCGCGACAUCCCCGACCGGGUCGCACCUCCCCGGCGCGCCGGGAGCGGGGAGCGCUCGCCCCCACAGCCCUGGCACGGCUCGGCUCCGCCCGGGAGGGCACACCCGCGAGGAAAGGUGGUGGGACGAGUCCCAAACCCAGCGCGGCCCCGAAGCCCCGCUCCUUGUUCGCAGCCAGCGCCGAAAUCGGGACAGUUUGGUGAAAUACAGGUGGAAAUCUCGGCCCGGAACCGGGCGGGCAUCGAGUUACAGCCGCUGCAUCCCGGGGAUGGCACCGAGUUACAGCCGCUCCAUCCCAUUGAUGGUACUGCGUUACAGCCGCUCCAUCCCGGGGAUGGCACCGCGGUACAGCCGCUCCAUCCCAGUGAUGGCACCGCGUUACAGCCACUCCAUCCCGGGGACGGCACUGAGUUACAGCCGCUCCAUCCCAGCCAUGGUACCACGGUACAGCCGCUCCAUCCCGGGGAUGGCACCACGGUACAGCCGCUCCAUCCCCGGGGCUGAUCCUGCCAAUCCUGCCCCUACCCAGACACGUCCUGCCAGCAGCCCAGCGCUUUCCAGCGCAGCUCUGCUCCCUCUGCUCCCAGCCCCGGUUUUUGGGCACCUGCCCUCAGUGCCACAGCUUGUGCCCGCGCGUCGCUGCCUCACAAAAGGGCUCCACUUCCAACAUUCACCCCAGAAUUGCUCAGCACGGCUCAGCUGCGUCCCCAGCCUGGCUCCGCCGGCCCCACGGGCUGAUGCAAACCCCGAGGAGCCCCCCACUCCCCAGCCGGGCGAGUGGAGACCCGCGGCUCCCGCGGGCACCGGCGCCCCUCAGGAGGUGCCCGUGUCCUGUCACCGCUCCCAGGAACCCACCCCGCUCUGGUGGGAUGUGAUUUUGCAGGAUGGAGGUCUCAUGGACCACGCUUCCCACAAGGGUCUUGCUGCUCCUAAUCCAGAGGGAGGAAGACCCAGUUUGGUGUGUCGGGUCCCAGCUCCAGCUGCCUCCCUCCAGCCCAGGUGCAAGUGGGGUGUCCCCAUCUCCUCAGCACUCCAAGGGGGUUAUCCCAAAAGCCUGGGAAGGAUCGUGGGGGCAGCUGAAGCCAGCGAGGCUCAGUCCAGCUGGUUCACAUUACAUCCUUGUGAGGGAAGGGAAGGGGAGAAGUGCAGGGACCCAGCUCGGUGGGCGCUGCAGAAAAGGGAUGGGUGCAGGAGGAGGGGGCUGUCUUUAGUUAUCGUUAUUGCUGGUGAAUUAGACCAACAAGCCAUUUUUAGUCACCUAUCAAGGAAGAUACAAGUCAGAGCAAAUAGUUAAGGUCAUGGGCAUUUUUCUUGUUUUUUGUUUUUAUUUUUUUUUUUUAAAGAUUUUUAUAUAUAUACAUAUAUU
rnacentral:lncRNA from 12 species